GCUGGGGAUAUAGCUCAGUUGGUAGAGUGUUUGCCUCCCAUGCACAAGGCCCUGGGUUCAAUCCCCAGCACCAUACA